AUGCCAAUUGUUGGCGCCGCCUCCUCGCAGCGCCGCUCCUUCUUCUACCUCGAGUUGCCUCUCACAACUCUCUUCUCCCUCUCACACAAUUCUCUUGUGUUUUCUCUCAAGAACUCUCUCAUGAACACACACACACACACGCACGCAUAUACCAAGGAAGAGGAACGGCUUUGCCAGAGACACUCCCUUGGUGAACCACAAUGGCUACAUGGUUUCUCUGCUCAGCCCUCUCGGCCUCCUCUCUUCAUUACUCCACUGAAACAUAUAUAUACAAGGACCAUACACGCACUGGCCAGCCACCUCUCUCGGCAACUAAUCCCACUAAUCUAUGCAUGCACUAACAGCCUUAUCCUACUCCUGAAAUCACUCCAACGGCCACACGACUCGGCCAUAUCUAAAACUAGCUCCACGUCUCAACGUGGCCUACUACUUCAUGCACGAAGCUAG
rnacentral:rRNA from 1 species